AGUGAACGCUGGCGGUAGGCCUAACACAUGCCAGUCGAACGGCAGCACAGUAAGAGCUUGCUCUUACGGGUGGCGAGUGGCGGACGGGUGAGGAAUACAUCGGAAUCUACUUUUUCGUGGGGGAUAACGUAGGGAAACUUACGCUAAUACCGCAUACGACCUACGGGUGAAAGCAGGGGAUCUUCGGACCUUGCGCGAUUGAAUGAGCCGAUGUCGGAUUAGCUAGUUGGCGGGGUAAAGGCCCACCAAGGCGACGAUCCGUAGCUGGUCUGAGAGGAUGAUCAGCCACACUGGAACUGAGACACGGUCCAGACUCCUACGGGAGGCAGCAGUGGGGAAUAUUGGACAAUGGGCGCAAGCCUGAUCCAGCCAUACCGCGUGGGUGAAGAAGGUCUUCGGGUUGUAAAGCCCUUUUGUUGGGAAAGAAAAGCAGCAGGUUAAUACCCCGCUGUUCUGACGGUACCCAAAGAAUAAGCACCGGCUAACUUCGUG
rnacentral:rRNA from 1 species